ACGGGGAGGGCGACGGGGCCUGGCGCCUGGGGCCGGCCGCGCUCUCGGGCUCGCAGGCGCUGGGUCUCGGCUCCGGCUCCGGCUCCGCGCCGCUGGCUCUGCGUCGCUCGCACUCCAGCCGGGGGCACCCUCAUCCCAGGCUGACUGACGUCCCUGGCACCCAAAUGUCGCGGGGAGUGCGGGGCCAGGGUGCGCCCUCCCUCCUCCUCCAGCCAGUGAAACCCGGGACAGCGGCACCCAGCCCCAGGGCGGAGGCCGUCUCUGCUGCGCGCAGCGACGCACCCAGGCCCAAGGGCCGGGAGAUCCGCGGGGAACCCGGAGACCUGCGUCCCAGAGGGGCCGAGGGUUGCACCGCGCCCGCUCCCACGGGCCUCUUCCGAGAGGACGCUUCUCCCUCGUGUCCGCGGGAAGUCCUCGGAUCCUGGAUGAGAAAGAGCCUUCUCUCACCGGCUCCCAGACCCCGCGCUUUUUAAUACCUGUCCUUGCAGAGCGACUGGUCAUUUUAGGCCCGAGUCGAGCCUCUCUUGAUUAAUAAAUGAAUAUGGCUCGUUUUGUUUUAA